UAAUAUUUUUUGUAUACUCUUCAAAUAAAUACGAAUUUGUUUUAGGCUGUUACUGACGAAAGCAUUUGCUAUGGCUUACUAUUCGCGACAAGUGCAGUACAAAAAAUAGUUGCAAUUGCUUAACUAAGUUGUAUCUCUGAUAAACUAACUGUCUUAAAUGAAAUUAAACUUAUAAAUUUCAUAUGCUAAUUAAAUAUAUAAAAAAUAGCUAAUAGUUAUCAGUUUUCAUUUAGAUAUGCACAAUCGGAUUAUGUUAAAAUUCUCUAACGGAACCGAAGUUUAAAACCCUCUUAUUUAAGAUCAGAUACAUUAUUUAAUAUUGUAGAUUUAGUUAUAUUUUUGCUCCGUGUUUAACUCGAGUUUUCAAA